AAUUCGCUAUGUUGAAACUUCCUAACUAUCUCCUUAAACCUCUCCCAUACUUCAAAAACAAUUUCAGUCUCUUUCUGGGAAAAAUUAUGGAUUUCUAUUAUAAACUU
rnacentral:snoRNA from 1 species